rnacentral:rRNA from 1 species
CUUGGUCAUUUAGAGGAAGUAAAAGUCGUAACAAGGUUUCCGUAGGUGAACCUGCGGAAGGAUCAUUAACAAAUCAUGCGCUGGCCUUCGGGCCGCGUACAUACACCCUAAGCCUAGGCUUCGGCCUGGCUUUCGGUUCAGGUGUCCGCAAGGAUUACCGACAUAGACGCUUGUAUGUUUGACAGUUUGAGUUGGAAUCAAAAAUGACAACUUUUAACAAUGGAUCUCUUGGCUCUUGCAACGAUGAAGAACGCAGUGAAAUGCGAAAAGUAAUGCGAUUUGCAUGAAUCUGUGAGUCAUCAAGUCUUUGAACGCACCUUGCACCGUGUGAGCAAUUGCACGGUAUACCUGUUUGAGAAUCGUAAAACUCUCUUUCUCACUCUUAGUGAGGAGAUUUGUUGGUCGUCGACGCAAGUUGACCCCGAUUAAAAGGAGUAGGCUGGGCCCCAUCAGUGGUCCGGGACAUUGUGUGCUAGAGACGUCCGGGUUUACCCGAACCGUCUUCUCACAGUGCGUCCCGGGCUAUUCAAGCUGGUGGUGUCAUCAUGUCUUACAGCGCGGUCCCUCGGGUCCGCUCACCCCCUCUUUUUGAUCUCAAAUCAGGUAAGGCUACCCGCUGAACUUAAGCAUAUCAAUAAGCGGAGGA